rnacentral:rRNA from 2 species
UGGGGAAUAUUGCACAAUGGGGGAAACCCUGAUGCAGCGACGCCGCGUGAAGGAAGAAGUAUCUCGGUAUGUAAACUUCUAUCAGCAGGGAAGAAAAUGACGGUACCUGACUAAGAAGCCCCGGCUAACUACGUGCCAGCAGCCGCGGUAAUACGUAGGGGGCAAGCGUUAUCCGGAUUUACUGGGUGUAAAGGGAGCGUAGACGGCUGUGCAAGUCUGAUGUGAAAGGCGGGGGCUCAACCCCUGGACUGCAUUGGAAACUGUAUAGCUUGAGUGCCGGAGAGGUAAGCGGAAUUCCUAGUGUAGCGGUGAAAUGCGUAGAUAUUAGGAGGAACACCAGUGGCGAAGGCGGCUUACUGGACGGUAACUGACGUUGAGGCUCGAAAGCGUGGGGAGCAAACA